rnacentral:rRNA from 1 species
UACGUAGGUGGCAAGCGUUGUCCGGAAUUAUUGGGCGUAAAGCGCGCGCAGGCGGUUUCUUAAGUCUGAUGUGAAAGCCCACGGCUCAACCGUGGAGGGUCAUUGGAAACUGGGAGACUUGAGUGCAGAAGAGAAGAGCGGAAUUCCACGUGUAGCGGUGAAAUGCGUAGAGAUGUGGGGAACACCAGUGGCGAAGGCGGCUCUUUGGUCUGUAACUGACGCUGAGGCGCGAAAGCGUGGGGAGCGAACAGG